UUUCCGUAGGUGAACCUGCGGAAGGAUCAUUACCGAGUCGAGGUGGCCGGGCCCUCGGGCGCCCGGCCACGAACCUCACCACCCGUGUCUACCGUACCCCGUUGCUUCGGCGGGCCCGCCGCUAAGUCGGCCGCCGGGGGACCACCGGUCCCCGGGCCCGUGCCCGCCGAAGACCCCUCGAACACUGCCUGAAGGUUGCUGUCUGAGCGUUUAAAACAAACAAACAAAACUUUCAACAACGGAUCUCUUGGUUCCG
rnacentral:misc_RNA from 1 species